UUGGAAAAGACAGAGACUUACUAUCCACCAAGGAGCUCUUUCACGGCUAAAGUUGCUCAACAAGUCCCUGCCUCAGUCCAGAUGUGUGGAAAGUUGCCAUCCUGGAUUUGUCAAGAGGGCUCGAGAAGGAGAGCCAGUUUGCUGCUAUGACUGCAUUCCUUGUCCAGAGGGGACCUUCUCCACUCAGGAAGAAACAGGAAAGGGAUUCAUUGAUUCAUCCCAUGAAUUAUGGACCUCCUGCUUCUGCUUCUGCUGCUGCUGUUGUCCCAUCCAGUCUCUGGGAAGCUGAGAAUGAAAUGCCCGCUGAGUUUGGAGCACCAGGAUGGAAAACAACCACAGAGCUAUUACAGCCGAG